CACAUCAAUCACACAUUUAGGCAUUAUGUCCUGUCUGUCAUCCCUUGCUGUCCUACCCUCUUUCAACUGAAGCUGGUAUCUCUUUUGAUCAUUGGCGGGAUGAGGAUCACAUGAUCCACGGAGGAAACUAGGAGGAGACUGAAUGACACAAGGGGAGCAAUAGCAUGACCCGCAGUAGUCCAACCCUCGAAGAAUAGGCGGGUUCUCUCCCUCAUAUCCUCUGAUCUCAUUUCUAGUGCCUAUAAUUUAUUUGUAUAGGCCACUGUUAAUCAGUGUGAUUUAAUGAGCUUACAGUAGCUAGUAACCACUCUCUCCUCCAUUUCAGAAUCUUCACUUCCUUCAUUCAUCUUCUUCCACACUAACUGCACUUUACUUUCACCCUGCUCUCUUCUGACCAUCUCCCUCACUUCCGUUAUAAAUGACUGUCUUGGCACAGUGUCAUAUUCUAUUGUUACCUACUUUUUUAUUUUGGCUAAAUGUUAGUAAAACUGUCUGUACCCU